AUGGCCGGCGUAAAUGAAACCGGCAUGAGUGACCUGCCAGAGGAGAUUCUAGCCAACGUGUUCUCCGCCGUGACAGACACCCGCACUCGGAACUCCCUCUCUCUGGUGUGCCGGAGCUUCCUCAAGUUGGAGCGCAAGACCAGAACCUCCCUCACGCUCCGCGGCAACGUAUUUGACCUCCACAGUAUCCCCACCUCCUUCCGCCAUGUCACUCACCUCGACCUCUCAUUACUCUCCCCGUGGGGCUACGAGCUCUUCCGCACCGACUCCGAGUCCCAACUCCCCACCGAUUCCAAGCCCCAACUCCUUGCUCUCCGACUCCGCCGCGCCUUCCCUCACGUCGCCUCACUCACCCUCUACGCCCUCCUCCCGAUCACGCUCCACCUCCUCCUACUUUCCUGGCCGGAGCUCCGCCGCGUUAAGCUCGUCCGAUGGCACGAGCGCGCGCCCGCUGACCUCUUCAGAAUCCGAAUUCGACGGCCUCUUCGAGCAUUGCCGGUCGCUCACCUCGCUGGACCUCUCCAGCUUCUACGACUGGAGCACCUGGAACCUCCUUUCGGCGCUGAAAUCAAACCCGGUCACCACCGCGUCGAUGCGGCGGCUGAAUCUCCUUACGGCCUCGCUCAAGGAGGGUAUCAAGUCGGUUGAAAUUCAGGACAUAACCAGAGCGUGCCCUAACCUGGAGCACCUCCUUCUGGCUUGCACCUUCGACCCGAAGCACAGUGGAUAUGUUGGUGACGAAACCCUCUUGGCCAUCGCCUCGAAUUGCCCCAAACUCACGCUUCUUCAUCUCGGUGAUACGGCGUCGUUGUCCAACCUUCGGGGUGAUCCUGAGGACACUGGUGUGGACGCUAGGAUUAGUGGUGCGGCUAUGGUUGAGUUUUUCUGUGGUUUGCCUUUGCUUGAGGAGUUGGUUCUAGAUGUUUGUAAAAAUGUCAGAGACAGUUGUUUUCUGUUGGAAGUGCUUGGUACCAAGUGCCCCAAGUUGAGGGUGCUUCAGUUGCGGCAGUUUCAAUGGAUUUGCUUGGCAAUUGGGCCGCAGCUUCAUGGGGUUGCUCUAUGUCAAGGGCUGCAGUCCCUGUCGAUUAGCAACUGUGCUGACUUGACGGACAAGGGGUUGAUUGUUAUUGCGAGAGGGUGUUCGAGGCUGGUUAAGUUUCAUGUGCAGGGCUGCAAGGGCAUCAUGGAGAAAGGCUUGAAGGCCUUGACUUGUUUGCUUCGCAGAACUUUGAUGGAUGUUAAGAUUUCUUGCUGUUUGAACCUCAACGCAUCCGCGUCUCUCCAAGCUUUGGAGCUCAUUCGGGACCGGGUGGAGCGGCUUCAUGUGGACUGUGUUUGGAGUGGCUUGAAAGAAACAAAUGUUGACCUCAAUAAUUUGGAGGAAUGUUUCUCUGAUCUGAAUGAUGAUGAAUUCGUUGGUUGUUCUGGGAGUGUGGAUUUGGAGGGGACAAGCCAAAAGAAGAAACAAAGAUGCAGCUCUUCGUCAUCAUCAGAGGUUGAAAAUGGUUACCAAUGCAGCCGUAGCUGGGACAGGCUGCGAUAUCUUUCUCUUUGGAUAGGGGUUUGUGAUGUUUUAACUCCAUUGCCAAUGGCAGGGCUGGAGGAUUGCCCCAAUUUGGAAGAAAUUCGUAUACGGGUGGAAGGAGAUUCCGAAGGGAAACCGGAACAACCAGAGAGCGGAUUCGGCUUGAGCACUCUGGCUUGUUAUCCUAAGUUAUCUAAGAUGCAGUUGGAUUGUGGUGAUACAACAGGUGCAUGGUAUGCAUCCCAAGGGCAUAUGGAUUUGACAAAGUGGGAGACAUUCGUCUUGAAUGGAAUCAGCACCCUUAGUCUAUAUGAACUUGAUUACUGGCCACCACGACGCAAUGGUUCAGAGCAAAGGAUUAUCUCAAAACCAGCUGCUGGCUUGCUACAAGAAUGUCAGACUCUGAGGAAACUUUUUAUUCAUGGAUCGGCUGAUGAGUAUUUCAUGAAAAUUUUCCUCAAAAUACCACAUCUAAGGGACAUCCAGCUGAGGGAGGAUUAUUAUCCUGCACCAACGGAAAGUUCUUGUUGCUCCACUGAAGUUGAAUUUAUUAAUCGUCGAGUCCGUGACUGAAAAUAUGAUACUCAUACUAAAUUUGGUGGCUGAAAAACCUGGGAGUAAACAGUGGAUUUUGUUCACCGGAGCAUAUGCUCACUUCUUUGGUUUAUUUCUUUUUUGCUUAAACAAGUUUUUAUUCUGUCUAAUUCCUUUGUUGGUAACAUUCCAGCAACCAAGGGGUCUCUCAGUUCUUAAUUGUUCUCUCUUUGUCACACAAUAGCAUUUCUGGUGCAAUCCCUUCAGAUAUUGGUGGUUGUUCACAUGUUGAAGUACUUCACCUGCUCUCAGAUUGGUUGCAAGCUAACAUUCUGGUUCGGGGUGAAAUCUCACACCUUUCUUGGUUAAAAAAGAGCUUAACUUGGGAAACAGUAUGUUAAAUAGUGAUAUCCCAGAUGAAAUCUCAAAAUGUUCUGCUUUGACGUCACUUGUAUUGGUCGCUACAGAAAAUUUACCAAACUCUACCAUGUUGAGCCUCUCUUCAAAUUCAUUGACAAGAAAAAUUCUGGGUGGUUUUUCAUUCAUUUCUGGUUUGAAGUAUUUGAAUUUAUCCAACAAUAAUCUUGAGGGUGAGAUUCCAGAAAUGCUCAGUUCUAGAUUCCUUCAGUGUUUGCAAUGGAUGAGAGGCUAUGCGGGAAGCCUUUGCAUAUAGAAUGUGAAAAUAUGAGAAGGCGAAAGAGGAGAAGGAUAAUAGUCUUCAUAGUCUAAGAAUGGGAAUGGAGGUGUGGAUAAUAAUAGUCUUCAUAGUCUUGCUUCUUUGGUUUAUUUCUUGUUUUUAAAAAAUAAAGUUUUAUUCUAUUACUUUCCAAGUGAGAUUUAAUUUUGGUCCAUAUUAUCUUAUUUUUAGGAUUGUGGUCCUUACUUUUACAAAUAGUUCUGGUUUGUGUUUGUUUCAUAA